rnacentral:rRNA from 1 species
UACAGAGGGUGCAAGCGUUAAUCGGAAUUACUGGGCGUAAAGCGAGCGUAGUCGGUUAUUUAAGUCGGGUGUGAAAGCCCCGGGCUCAACCUGGGAAUUGCAUUCGAUACUGGAUAGCUAGAGUUCGGCAGAGGGAAGCGGAAUUUCCGGUGUAGCGGUGAAAUGCGUAGAUAUUGGGAAGAACACCGGUGGCGAAGGCGGCUAUCUGGCCCGUAAUUGACGCUGAGGCGCGAAAGCGUGGGGAGCAAACAGG